AAAUUGAAGAGUUUGAUCAUGGCUCAGAUUGAACGCUGGCGGCAGGCCUAACACAUGCAAGUCGAACGGUAACAGGAAGCAGCUUACUGCUUCGCUGACGAGUGGCGGACGGGUGAGUAAUGUCUGGGAAACUGCCUGAUGGAGGGGGAUAACUACUGGAAACGGUGGCUAAUACCGCAUAACGUCGCAAGACCAAAGAGGGGGACCUUCGGGCCUCUUGCCAUCAGAUGUGCCCAGAUGGGAUUAGCUAGUUGGUGAGGUAACGGCUCACCAAGGCGACGAUCCCUAGCUGGUCUGAGAGGAUGACCAGCCACACUGGAACUGAGACACGGUCCAGACUCCUACGGGAGGCAGCAGUGGGGAAUAUUGCACAAUGGGCGCAAGCCUGAUGCAGCCAUGCCGCGUGUAUGAAGAAGGCCUUCGGGUUGUAAAGUACUUUCAGCGGGGAGGAAGGUGUUG
rnacentral:rRNA from 1 species